AAUUUAUAAACAUUAAGAAAUCUAUUAAAACUUGAGUUGAGGACACCCCGUAAAAAAAAUCAAACAAUCAAUAUUAAUUAUAUAUUUCAUAGGUCCUAUAACGUUUCAACAAUAUAUUUCAAAAAUUUCUAUCUCAAUUUACUAAUCUAAUUUUAAUCCCCACCCAACAUCCUAAAAAAAUACAUUAUUAAACAAUGAUUCAACAUCAUUUCAACAACACAUUCUACAAUAAAAUAAUAUUACAUGCAAAUUCAAAAUUUUCCUUCUUUUUUAACUACACAUUUCCUAUCAAUACACUAUUUAAAAACGCAUUCUUAUAAAAAUAAUGUGACUCAAACAAGAACAUAAGGAAAGAAAUUUAUGGGAAUAUGAAAAAUCAAGAAUUGUUCAUUUUUAGUGCUGAUAGCAAAAUUUUGUUGAAUUUAUCGUUCCAAUAGUCAUCGAAUUUAUGUUCAUAUUUUCAAUUGCUCACUGAAAUUUAAAAUGUCAAAUUUUGAUCAUUAAACUUAAAUCCAUAUCUUUGAUUGUUCAUUAAAGAUUAAAAUGUCAAAUUUUGACCAUUAAAUUUUGAAAAAUAUUAUAUAUUACUCGUUAGCAUAAAUUUCGUCUCAAAUUUCUAAUGGAAUUGAUAACGUAGCCGACGAAAUGCACAUGUGACAUCCUGUCAUACUGUUAAACUUUGAGAUGAUCGAACUUUGAUCACUAAACUUCAAAAAAUGUCUUCUAUUACUCACUGAACUUUGAGGUAAUCAAAUUUAUAUCAUUGAACUUUGAAAAAAUUUGAACUUUGGCCACUAAACUUUGAAAAAAAUAUACUAUUGCUCACUAUAAAUUUUGAAUUUAAUUUUAUUUAAAAAUUAACAAAUUCAUUAUGUUUCGUUGUAAAAUUCAAAUAUUAUGAUGAAAAUAACUUCAAAUUCUAAAAAAGUUAAUUAAUUAAAUUUAAACAUUCAAAGCAAUAUAACCAAUGCUUACAAAGCUAUGCAAAUGAAGUAACUCCUAAUUGUAAUAAAGCACACAAUAUAUUUAUUUUAAAAAUUAAAUUAAAUUCAAAAAUUUUUAACAACAAAUUUUA
rnacentral:lncRNA from 1 species